rnacentral:rRNA from 1 species
AAGUAAAAGUCGUAACAAGGUUUCCGUAGGUGAACCUGCGGAAGGAUCAUUAAUGAUUGCGAAUGGUCGCCCUCGGUGCUGGCUCGUAAGAGCAAGUGCACGUUGGUGGCUUUCAUCCAAUACCCCUGUGAACCUUUGGCCUCUUGCUGGCUCUGGCUGGCAGAGGAUUUUUAUACACACACUCGAAUGUAAUGAAAACUAUUGUCGUGCGCAAGCACUAAUGUACAACUUUCAACAACGGAUCUCUUGGCUCUCGCAUCGAUGAAGAACGCAGCGAAAUGCGAUAAGUAAUGUGAAUUGCAGAAUUCAGUGAAUCAUCGAAUCUUUGAACGCACCUUGCACCCUUUGGCAUUCCGAAGGGUAUGCUCGUUUGAGUGUCAUUGUACUCUCACACUCUCUGAUCCUUUGGGAUUCGGGGAGCGGUGGACUUGGGUGUUUGCUGCUUUCCUUGUGGCUCACCUCAAAUGCGUCAGUGCACCUCUUGGUUGGACAUAGUACGGCGUGAUAAGUGUCUUCGCCGGCACCUCGCAAGAGGGUGGUCAAUUGGGAGCUCUGUGCUUUCAAACCGUCUUCGGACAAUAUCUGACAACUUGACCUCAAAUCGAGUAGGACUACCCGCUGAACUUAAGCAUAUCAAUNA